UACGUAGGCAGCAAACGUUGUUCGGAAUUACUGGGCGUAAAGAGUGUGUAGGCGGUCCCGUAAGUUUGGUGUGAAAUCUCCCGGCUUAACUGGGAGGGUGCGCCGAAAACUGCGGGGCUUGAGUGCUGGAGAGGAUGGCGGAAUUCCUGGUGUAGCGGUGAAAUGCGUAGAUAUCAGGAGGAACACCGGCGGUGUAGACGGCCAUCUGGACAGCCACUGACGCUGAGACACGAAAGCGUGGGGAGCAAACAGG
rnacentral:rRNA from 1 species